GAUGAUGCAGGAAAAGGACCUCAUUAUGAAAUUUUGCUUUACAAAAUCAUGUUGUCAGUAUCAUUUGUGAUGGGAACUUCAGAAAACUGGUUUUAAGGGCACGGAGAGAGAAAAAAAACAAAGAAUUGGAUAGUAUAUAAGCAGCAAGAAUAAAGAAAUAAGUAACGGAGCUGACUGAUAAAUAAGCAAAGAAAAAGCAGAUCUGUAGGCAAAACUGGGUAAACAAAAUAAGUAAUCACUUCUCUAGGCUGGCUUUUCAGUAAAAGAUCCUUUCUUCGUGUUUUUAAAUCCUCACUGUACUACAACCUGAUGUUAGGACAUGCUCUUCUUCCAGCCACAUCAACAUUUAUUUAAUGGCACUUUUAAAACUGGCUAGAUGUUUUUGUCCAGCUUCAUUUAAGAUGCCCUCUGGCAUCCCAGGAGCCACUGGUGCUGCCCUGAAAACUGGUACUUCAGUAUUUCAAGGACAGCUGAAAUAGCAGGGGAAGACUGAUGUGUGUUCUUACGUGUGCAUCUGGAGUCUGAUGAAGAGAACGAACAGAGCUGAUAAAGGAUGCUCACAAUCAAAUCCAGGCCACAUAAUAAAAUCGGGUGAAGAACAGACCUUUGCCCUGAAGCUUUAAUUCUUAUUGGCAAAGAAAAGAGAGCGUUAAUGCAAUUUCACGUACUGCUACCUUCGCUCACUUCUCUUCUUCAACAACAAAUAAACUUGUGUAUUUGUGCACAUCAGAGUUAAGAUUCCAGGAAAAGGGAUUCAAAAUACCUGUUCCUCUUCUGCAUGAAUUCUAACGUUGGAAGCCUGGCUUUAGAUCUGGGCUCACUGAACGUCUCAUAGCUGGUUGUUAUGGCAGUAUCUACAUCUCAAAGACAUUCUAACAAUAUUGAGAGAAGGGAGAAAGAGGCAAGAUCUCAUCAAAGUUGUUUUUGCAAAGACUGAGAGCUGGGAGAAGGGCAGACCUCUGUUUUACUGUGGAUGCAAACCAAAGCUGCACAGGUUUUGUUGCCAUCAAUGCCUUAGACAGUGUUUUACUGUCUAACUUCAGUGUCACCAUCAUCCAACAGUGAUGAGUGCAGGCUGGGCCACUUCUAGGAAUAUAAUAAUAGACACUGGGAUGUGUUUGCUAACCAGGAUUUGCCCGUGAUGGUAAAAGUUAAUGUAUAAUUGUCCUUGACUGCAUAACACACAUCAUCUCAUCAACCACCUUACUCAUCCAAACCCUUCAAUCAGUGAGUGCUUGUUGGAUUAUUCCUCCUCUGGUCCUUCUGCUGCCAAUAGUUUCUACAUCAGUUUGUGGGUAUGGCAUUUUUGUGUCAAUGGUAUUGCUUCUGCUUCUGCUUCUGCUUAUGCCAAGUCAUCGUUCUGUCUGGUGAAAGACAUCAUGUUACAGCUGAAAAAUGAGUAUUGAGAAUAGUAAUCACUCCAGCACAGGAAUAUGAAUUUCUACUAAUCCAAACAAGGAUCCAGUGCCCAAACAGUUGGGUUAACAUAGCUCCACCGAAAACUGGUCAAUUUUCAGCUGAAAAUUGUUCAGACAUAUUCUCUCCCCAAAGGUGCAGAAUUAGAUGUACUUCUUUUACUUUGAUAGGCAUCCAUUCACAUUGGCUCCUCCUGAUUUUAAAAUGCUGCCAAGAAGGUAGGAUUUGCCCAGAUCUAAGCUGGGCUGUAGCCCUGCUUCAUGUAGUGCAGUCAGGGGUGAUUUUACCUGUUUGGGGUCUACGGGGGGAGCAGAAGGAGUCUGUGUCUGGUGAGUGCCACUAGAAAAAAAAGCAUAUUGUAGCACAGAAGGGUUGUUUUUUUCCUGUACAAAUUGCUUCCGUUCCACUUUCAUAAGUAAACAACCAGCUACAGAAUUAGCUACAGUGCUAAAUGAAAAAAGGGAGUUGAAAGAGAGUAAUGUAGAAUAAUUGAACAGGAAGAAAGGAAAUAUGCAUGUAGCAGAACCUGAAAAGGAGAAAGAGAACUAAUUAAAUGUAGUAUAAUUAAUUUCACACAAUGUCCUUUAGAUGCUGCAUCAUAAAAUGUUUUGCUAAAUGAGUGCACCUAGAAUCAACUACACUUUCAGGAACUUUUUUCAUCUCUUUUGCUCUGGAUUAUUGUUUUGGACCUGAUGCAGAGAGCUGUUGUGAGGAGAAAACAUCAGAGCUCACCAGGUCUUGCUGAGAUCAAGGUGAAAUUCCACCAUUUCAAGCAAAGAACAGCAAAGUAGGCAGGGCAAAGAGACCAAAGCUCUGGUGUGGGUGACAAGUCAGAAUGCAAAUUUAUUGUGUGCAUUUGCAAGAAUCCGUGCAUGUUUUUUUGAGGUAUGCAUGCAACACCAUGAUCUUGCAAAAUGCAUGUCUGUAUGCAGAUACAUUGUAGGGGACGUUCCAGAGUGCACAUCUGUGAAAGUGCCUGAUGGUCUCUUUGGAGCUUAGUACCAUCAUAAAUGUAAUCCUUUGUCCCAUUUUGGCUAUGCUAAGCUGGGGAGUAGAAUCUGAGGACUGACUUUAGUCCCCCUAAUCACUUCUUGAUUUCAAAUGUCAGGAGCAUACCCCCUGUAUCAGUUUCCAAGAGUGCUAUUCAGAAUAUGCAGCAGAUUCAAGGAUAAAAAAAACAGUGUAAAUUUCGUUAUUGUUGGAGGAAAAAUAUUGUGAGUGGAGUAAACUGAGAGUCACUGGAGAAUGAUGAGGCUGAAAGGAAGAAAUGAAGUAUGUGAGUGUUCUUUUAGGACUCUGAUAACUCUGCACCAGAGGUUUUGUGCAAAAAAGCAGAACUCAGGAGCAUAUUGCUUCCUGCUCUGUCUCUGGUCUUCAGCAAACUGCUUGAUUUUCUUCUAACAAAAUGUGCAGCCAUUCUUUUCUGUGCUUGUGCAUGAAUUGCAGACACUCCUGGGAGCUGCCAUGCAGCCAAGCAACUGAUCAACAUGAGUAACUCAAGCACAUGUGUAACCAGUUUCUCUGGUCUCAAGCUUCCCAUGUUCCAACCUGCUACAUCUCCUGUCCUUUUGAUACCUGGUGGCUGAUACCCAUCUCAGAGAGGCAGAUGUUGUAGGCAGAAAUCUUCCCUUUGGCUAUGGAUAACUUUUCAGCCACUGAUUGUUUGAGUCUCUCAAAUGAAGGCAGGCUUUUCCUUGGCCAAUGUGGAGAAGACUCCCUUUUUAGUAUUAUGCAGUAGUUAAUCAUCCAUCUCCAGGAAUAAAUUAGAAUAACAAGCCAGAGCAAACCAUUUUAUUCGUACUCCAUCUUAGCAGAAUGUCCCUCAGAAGGGAGACACACUCCAGUGUUUCUGCUCCCAUCCUACGUCCUCCUUUGUUGUCCAUAAGGGGACUAAUUGAAUCAUAAGAUGCUUCGAAUGUCAGUGCUAAUCUCCUGGGUCAUCCUCUCUACAUGGGAUAUAAUGAGGGUAAGUAGAGCUCUAGCUGCUUACAUUAUAGCCUGUGACUUAGGAAGGCAUUUCUUUGCUCCUCAGUAGGCUUGAGGUUGCUACGUUAUAUAGUUUUCAAAAAAAAGCAGUUAUUAUAAGGCACUGUUAUCUCCUGUCACUUUCAAUAAAAUCAGCUUGGCUUUCUGAAAGUCCUACGAGGAAGGAAUCAGGAUGAAAAUUCAUGAGUGCAGACUAAGAGACAUUGGCAAAUAAGACCUUCUGUCAGUCAUUACUCGGCAGAUUCUUUUUUUAGGGAGGGAAUGAGUAAGCUGGUGUUAGGGGACCCUGCUGUGUGAUUUGCCAAACGUUUCAAAACGUCAGCCCUACAUGUAAUGACCGGUGAUGAAUGCAAGCUAUAUUAAUGAGCUUUGCACUGCAGCAAGGUGGGGUUACAACAACAAUGCAGCUCUGCCUGAUGAUGUAUAUUGGCUUUGAUCACCAGGCCAUGGCGGGUCCUUUCAGGAAAGAAGUGACUGUCAUUAACUGGGAAACCUUUUGAAAGGCUUCGUUGCAUAAGAUCUCUCAUGUGGGCAAGGAUGAGUGGGCAGCAUCCUCAGAAGUCCUGGUGGGCAUCCCUGAACAAACACUAAGUAGAAAAGCUCCUGACAAGCCCAUUAGAUGGAUAGAAAGGGCCUCUUUUUCUUGAGUUGAGACUUCUUCACUGAGGUGAGAUUGCUACUGGGGCCCAAGGAAAGCCACUGGUGUCAUUCUGUUGUUACUAUGAGCAGGGACUCCACAGCUCAUGUUAACGCUUUCCCAAGGAGGAAGAACUCAUGGUGUCAUUGCUGCUCUCACACCCAUAAGUACUAUUAUCCUUCAUGUCUUAAAGUUAGGAGAAAUUAAAAUGGUGACUUGAUUCCUCCUGCCAUCAAAGAAAGUUUCUGGCUGAGCAGAGAUUUGAGUCCAUCAUUUUACGUACCAAGAAACUAAACCCUUCAACACCCAUGUGGCUAGUUGACCAUGUUUGCUGAUGUUUGCUCUUGGUGUCUGCAUGUGAAACAUUAAACCCAAAUUGCUUCUAACUGAGCAGGCUUCCAAUCUCCCAAUCUCUCCCAGUUGUUUUUCUGGAAAAGUUUCCUGUCUCAGAAAAAGCUCCAUCCUGCAAGCAUUGGCAGCUCUGCACCCUUACCGACUUCAGGGUGCAGGGCUAAUCUUGCUCAGUAUCUUGCAGAGCAGAGCUCAUCAGGGAAUUUUAAAACAUUAAGGUCCCUGUGAUUCAUACCGCUGCAGCAGUAAUUUGAAGCACAUUUAUUUUUCAUGGGGUUGUUGUAAGUGUAGCUGAAUAAUAACAUUGUAUGGAACAUGUGUGUUUAAAUUCAAACUUGACCUUGGGAGGGGUUAGAACGCAUCUUCUGCUUUUGUGUCAAGCCUGUCUGAUGAUGAAUUGGCAGGACCUGCCUUUCUGACAUAGAUAUUUUCACUUAGAUCCAUUUUAGUAUUUUAUAGAAAAUUGAAUUUUGAAGCCAAAUGACCCAUCUUAAUAGGCUAAUCCUUGUCCUUGCUUUGCUAAGCAUCAAACUGAAAUAGCUUAUGUCUUUCUGAGACAUUUCAUUAGCAUCUCAUGGGAAAACAAGAGCAGACGACUGCAACCAGCCUCUCUGCAGCUUUGUUCCAAACAGUGUGGGCAGCAGCGUGGUGGAUGUGUGGUCCCACAAUGUGUGCGAGUAGAAAGACUGUGGCCACUUUACCCCCUUAGCUGACAAAUACCUCAGCCCAGUCCCAAUUUAAACAAGAGGGCUGUGACACCGAGGAGGCAAAGCUGCUUUGGCUCACUUGCCCUGUGUCAACACCAAAAAGUUACUGCAAUGGAGUGGGGAGAAGUGAGAAACUUCUCCAGAGAAGCUGGGCGCCUGUGAGUAGGGUUUUUUUUUAAUUGCUUUCCACCUGUCAGACUUGUCAGGGAUGAAACUGGAUGUUUGCAAAGAGGGAAAAAGUCCUUCCCCCUCACCAACCCCCACACCUCCUCCCUCUCUCCCCUGGCCUGUCUCCAGGCUCCGAUGUGACAUCUGAGCAAGUUUAUUUUGGCAUCUGCUGGCAGCAGGAGAGGAGGAGUUUGUGAGAAGAGGCAUCCCACGGCUCGGCUUCCCAGCGGAUAUUUGGUGUCUGAGAUGCGUUUGGGAAUAAUUUCCUUUGGAUGCUGUUAAGAAUCUGUUGUGAUCCAUGCCCUGGCAUUUAAGCUCAAGUAGCUUUUGAGAUGCACUAGUGCUUUACCAACAGCUUUGCAGGUCUGCACAAGUGAGGUGACGUGCUCAGGAUGAUCUGUCCAUCUUCAGUAAGUCCCAGGUACCACAACAUUGCUCUGUGAGGAAUAGUCAUCAGCUAGAAAAGAGAACCAGCCAAGGUGCUUACCACAAUAAUGAAUAGCCAGUGCAUGGUCCUAUAGCUCCUAAUUCUCCAUCGCUCUGAUGCCAACUGCUAAGGAAGUCUAUUGGGCUCAUCGAAGUCUUGCUGUGACUCACAGCCCCGUCUUACUUAAAAGAGCCUUUUCAUGUUGAUCAAGACAACCAAUCUCCACACCCUACGAUGCCUCCUGGAGAGAUGGAUAGAAAAAAAAUAGGCAGACUCUGAGCCCUGGAGGCAAUCUGCAAGGAAAAUGAAUAGCACAGGAGGAUGAAUUGUCGUAAACAAGCGGGAGUGAGAUUUUGGUUGAAGAGAAAAGCUUUUGAUUGAUUUGUGAAGAUGCAAAAAUCCAACAGGAGGAGAAUGUUUGCUUUUUUCCCUUUCCUUUUUCCGGUGUUUUUUGUUGCAUGCUGAUGUUACUAACACAACUAUCUGGUCUCUGGGAAAAGUCUGAAAAUCCUUUUGAUGACGUGAUAUAUAUAGAAACACAGAAAGCAAAUAGAAUUAUUAUUGUGCAGUUAUUUCACCUGUGCUUUCUGAAGACAUUUGGAGUCUUUUGUACCUUUUAUCGUACAUCAUAAGCUGGUAUGACACAAUCUUCCUCACAGUUGAGCAUUGAAAAUCAGUAAUUUUUGGAUGGCAUGCAUUUCAAGGGGGGCCAAACAAAGCCAGAUCUUUUCCCUGCAGAAACCUUUUCUGCCUCUAUCUCUCUGUACAGAGGUUCAUUAAUUUUGCAUUUGCCUUCCAGACUGUUGAGUGGAGCAGAGAUAGCUCUCCACCAUUUCUAUUUUAGUGUUUGGCUAUGGGUAGCUUUGGCUUUCCUAUUCACCAUGGGUAUAAAUCUGCCACUCACACCCCGAAUUAUUCUUCCUCAAGCUUACUGAUGAAAUGUUUUCCCAGAAGACAGCACUUCUUCCCCAGGAAUCAGAUUAUAACAAUGUUUCACAGAUCAGAGGGAUUUCUACCAGUUAACUGUACUAAGCCAAGGACAUUGCUCUUUGGUGAGGAGCUGGUUUUAAUGGUGUCUAAAUGGUGUUAGACUGGCAGCAUGAGAGCACGUACUGUGUCUCCCCAAGUCCAUGGAAACUGAUUAAGAUACAAACUGAAAUCUGAAAAGGUGUUUUGUGAAGUCCAGUGAGCUCUAUAUGAUAAAUAAUAUAUUAAAAAGCAGUGAGGUAUGCUGUAAUAAACACUUUCCCUCCUUGUCCUUGCAAUAUAUACAAUAACCAAGAGAUAUUGUCCUGUACUCAAUCAAAAUCAGGACCAGAGUCUUUGUUCCUUCCAGACACAAGCUACGAACCGUGAUUUCUGUUUAAUCUGAUCAAUGCCUCUGGCAUUUAAGAUUGGCUGUGGAGCUGUAAACAUAAUGAACUGCUUCAUUUCCACCUUGCUAAAUGAUGUUUUUAAAAAAAAGCUUCAGAAAAGAGAAACAAACAAAGCCAGACUGGGUCACUUAAAAACACAAACUGUGUUUCUUUGCAGAUGCAGACUGUUUUAUACCAGUCGUGCACAUGGGUCUUCCUCUGCACUCACAAACGCUCCACACAUUUGUAUUUUCUUUUACUUCAAAAGUCUAGAGCAGCGCUCCCCGGGAAGGAUGCUCAGUUCUCUGGGCAAGAAAAUUAACCAGUCUGGCUGCCUUGCUGUGGUGUCAUGACCAGGUUUACAAUCCCUGUACCUUUUGCUUGUCCUAAUCCAGAUCAAGCCCAGAGGAAGGGGUGGGGUAAGUCUCAAGUUCUGAGUCAGGAAACACCAUUGGCUACAGAAGGCUUUUUUCUGGGAUGGUCACAAGAAAUCUAAUUUCAUGCUUGUGAGGAUGGCAAAGAUAAAUUAAUCUUAUUGCAAUCUGACUGUCUGAAGGAAGGCAAAAAUGAUUUAUUGCGGUGAUGUGGAACUUUGUAUGAACACAUAUUCUGCGUGGGAGCUGUAUUAAAAAUGCUGUUGACAGUUGUAGCUACUUUUCAAGUGGACAGAAGGACUAGAACAUUAAAAAUGUCAGGUGUUAUAGAUUACAUUAUAGUUCCCCAUGGCAGUUCUAAGGUCAUUCCUGUUUAAUGGAUUUUGUUCCUAUUUGGGCAUUUUUAAAAUUCAGAACACAAUACUUCAACUUCUGCAAACUGUAUGUUUUCUAUGUGGAAACAAACACCAAGGAUAACAACACCGUCAAGAGCACUUUGAAAGUUGCCAAGUGCCAAGGUUGUUGCUGUUGCUGACAACCAGUGAGAAGCUGCUUUUAAAUGGUUGAAUGUUGGCAUGUUUUGCGAAUAUAUGUCUUGGAACGGAGGCUUAAAAUAGCUCAUGGACUACCUGGUUAUGCUGAAUGAAGGGGAAGAUGAAUCAGAGUUGACUGCGCUGGCAACACUGCGGUUUGAAUCUCUGGUCUACAAGAAGAUUUCAUUACAGUCUUUGAAUGAAUCCCUUAAGCUCUCUGUGCCUGAAAUCUAUACCAUAAAACAAGAGCAUCCUUCCAGCAAUGAAGGUACGGAGUGUUCUAGGUUGUUAGCUGUGUGCUAACGCUGUCAUAUCUGAAUAAUUACUGCUAUUACAUCUUGAUUAUGUUCAUGAAAUGUUGGGGUGCUGCAGUGCACAAGUGACUGUGUACAGCAUGCUGGUACAGGUUGGUGAAAGUGGCUGAGUGUUUGGUCUCUGUCUGAGCCCAGUGGGGCUAUUCCACAGAAAACGUGAUUUCAGAGGAGCGAACAUCGCAUUGUGCAACCCACACUCUGAUUAUUCAGAGCUCUGGCCCUGGGACUCUUCCCUUGCAUGUUUGUCUUUGGCAGAGAGAAGAACCACAGACCUGUGUGAUGCAGUGCUGAUACCUGCUCAGCCCUGAGAGGUUUAUGAAGAAAAAAGGUAGCUGUGGUUCCUGGUGAGCUCAGCUGAUGGGUCCUCAACUUUCUGUCACCGUUCUUUACCUCUGGUGUUUGGCUGCAUGAGCCCAGGGCUGGGCUGGCAGCUGGUGGAGACUGGGCUGACUGGUGUGUGCUUUUCCCCUGGAAAACAACAUCAGCACUUUGGUUUGGACACCCCACAGCACUCAGAGCUGUGUCUGUGCUCCUGUUCUUCUGGAGGGGUUUUGCACUCGACUGCCCAAAGUCACUUCUCGGUCUGCUUCAUCCUUCACAGCCCACAAGAGACCUGUAACAAUAACCAGGAUGAGCUGCCUUAUUGCUUAAAUACCCUCAUGAAUAUACUCCAACCUCAUCUACGGUUCAAACAAAUUCAAUAAGGCAGAGGAGGAUUUAAAGACAUUUUAAAUAAAUUAACUUCUGGGUGGAUGUUUAUUAAGUUUUAUGAUGCCAUUUACUUAAAUGUAACACUUGUUUCAAAAGGCGUCUGAAAUUUUCCUUUUGUGAACUAUGGAAAUUACUUCUAUAACUGAAAUGAGAAACAUGGGCCAAAUUGAAAGCAUUCCUCAUUGCUCGAGGCAUAGUCCUUGUGCCUUUCUAAAAGAACAAAGAAAUUCAUUGACUCUUUAUAGCCUUUUUCCUUUGAAUUGGUGGGGUGUGAUGUGAUGCCCAAUUACAUGACAUUGGGUGAGAGAGAGGGUUGCAUGGAAGGAUGGAGAAGCUCUGUUUCCCAGGAAUUUUGCUUUUUCAAGGAGUCAGCCCUAAGCUAGAGAAGUCAUGAGCAGAGGGCAACAUUUUUCACUCCAGCUUUAACAUGGUCUAUUUUUCUGCACAAGCAACGGAGACUCUGCUGGGAGCAUCCUACCCUGCACAGAAAUCUCCUGCAGCCAGAAAACGAGGACAUUGCCACGUGUUGUGGGUUUUCACUGCUGAAGAUACGAACUGUGGCUCCUUAGGCAGUGGACUGAAAACGCACCUUUUAACAGAGCAGGGCUGCAUACCAAAUAAAAGUAUCCAUAAAAUGAACUAUUUGAUUCUUUAAUAAUUGAUGGUGUAGGGACAAUAGAGGCUCCUGCCCUUCUCAUCUGGAAGCAGCACCAAAAUGCUUUCAGAGAGCAAUGCAUUUCAACUGGGUUUUAGAAGAUGAAUUUUCCAGGCAUGAAUGAUUCCAAAUAUUUAAAUGUUUUUUUGUUGUUGCUUUCCAAGCAAACUUUCCCUCUGCCAGAAAUCGAAACAAUUGGCUUGAAUGGCUAAAAACUAUGAAGAUUUUGUGGAUUUU